rnacentral:rRNA from 1 species
CUGGCGGCGUGCCUAACACAUGCAAGUCGAACGGAAUAUCUUCGGAUAUUAGUGGCGAACGGGUAGAGUAAUGUACAGGUAAUGUACCUUCGUACUGCGAAUAACAAGCUGAAAAGUUUGCUAAUACGGAAUAGUUUCCCUUCGGGGGCAUCCUUAAAGGAAUAAAGAUUUAUCGUGCGGAGAUCGAGCCUGUAUCCUAUUAGUUAGUUGGUGGGGUAAUGGCCUACCAAGACGACGAUGGGUAACUGGUCUGAGAGGAUGAGCAGUCACAUUGGAACUGAGAAACGGUCCAAACUCCUACGGGAGGCAGCAGUGAGGAAUUUUGCGCAAUGGGGGAAACCCUGACGCAGCCAACGCCGCGUGAGUGAUGACGGCCUUCGGGUUGUAAAGCUCUGUCGUGUGUGACGAGUAGGGACGGUAACACACAAGGAAGCCUCGGCUAACUACGUGCCAGCAGCUGC